UACGUAGGCAGCGAGCGUUGUUCGGAGUUACUGGGCGUAAAGCGUGCGUAGGCGGUGUCUUAAGUUUGUUGUGAAAUCUCCCGGCUUAACCGGGAGGGUGCGGCGAAUACUGAGAUGCUGGAGUGCGGGAGAGGUAAGCGGAAUUCCCGGUGUAGCGGUGAAAUGCGUAGAUAUCGGGAGGAACAUCAGUGGCGAAGGCGACUUUCUGGACAGCUACUGACACUGAGGCACGAAAGCAUGGGGAGCAAACAGG
rnacentral:rRNA from 1 species